ensembl:lncRNA novel transcript
AUAAUUCAAAGUGACACAUUUGUAUUUGUAGAAAUAUGCACAACAUUUACACAACAAAUUAUGAUGAUUUUAUAAGAUAGGCGAGAAAGGGAAUGUUAUGACGUCAUCAGUCUGUGCAGUCAAGAAGGAAGUAGGCAGAAACAGCUAGCAUUACACUGGAGGCAAGUGAGCAACCUUCUGGACUCUUUGUUAUGUUUGCAUGAUAACCUCCAAGGUAGAGGAAUUUUAAAAAUGGGAAACCAAGCCUGAGCCCAGUUUCCAGGGCAUUCAGAAUGAUUUCUUCUUAGUCUGUCUGCCUCCAAGGCUAUGUACUUCGUUGCUGGAAUCUGCUAUCCCAUUUGGUUUGCUUAAAGGACACUCAGUGCCCAACAGUGUGUGGCAUUAUGGGUAGUGAUAAGAGCUGCUAUUCUUCAUGAUUAAUAUGAUUGUCUGUCUACUAUGCUAAGCACUUCACACGCAUUAUUUUAAUGCAUGCCUCCAAAGUAGCUUAUUUUGCAAGGUAGAAGUUAUCCCUACUUACAGAUGAAGAAAUGAAGACACAAGGAAGUUAAUUAUCUUGGUCAAAUCACACUGCUAGUAAGGAGUACUUAGAGGUCGCACUUGAAUCUAGACCUGUUUAACUUCAAAUCCCAUGCAUUUCACUACAGUAAUGGUAAUAACACAUCAUAAUGGUGAAAUAGACCCAUGAUUAGCUGUAAAACAUGACUUGUUUGAAAAUUGGCCUCCCUGCUUUCUCUUCCCCACUCAGAGGAUACUCACAUACAGUGUUUGCAAUCCCUCACUUUCACUCACUGCUCUCUCCAUGCUGUCUCUCCCCCUUUUCCCAAGUCAUACCAGGGUCAGGGUUACUUGAUUUCAGACUUGAUGCCAGUUGCCUCCAGGUGUUGGGUGUGACUUCAAGGAAUAGAAUACUAAGUGCUUAAUGAAAUAGGUGCCAUUGUCUUCUGGUCUGCCAAAAAAGGAGAUGACCAUUAAUUCUUAUUCUGUAAGAAUCAUGUGGUUUUUCCAAACGGGUGGUUAAAUUUGUUGCCUUAUCUUGAAUGGGAUUAUGUGGGGAAAGAUAAAUGCAUCAAUGAGGAAUCAAUGUUUCCAAAUAUGAUGGAGAAGUUUUAUAGUCUGAAAAUUUCUCUUUUCCUCUCAUAGGUGUACCCAUGUGUGGGUGUGUCCAUGUGGUGUGCCUGCCUUGCUCCAGAAUAAGCCUCCAUAGGUUCCCAUGGCAGUGGACAUGUUUGGUAAACUUGUAAGGUGACAAGGAAAAUUGAUCAAGUUACGUUAAGAGGAAAAAAGGCAUUCCAGGCCACCAUAUCCUUAGUCACGUAGGCUACUACCAGGUCACUUCUAUAGAGGGAGAAUGCCGAGCCAAUUUGUCUGCAUCAUUUCUAUGGCAUGAAUCAAAGUUGUAUUUGUGUCCAUCAGAAUAGAGACUUUAUGCUGGAGGAAAAUCACCCAUGAGCCCCAGGGAAGGCAGUGAUUUGACACAAUGAUGUUGAAAGUCAAGAGUGCUCAGCAUGAAAUGCCCCAGCGAUGACAGCAGGAUUAACCAUCAGUGUGAAGACAGAAUGGGUGUGCCUGUUGAUGAAAGGCGCUUGGACACAGAGGCAGCCCUUCCCUGGCUCUUCUGAGGAUGUCUGCUGGAUGGAGAACAGUCAGAACACCUAUGGAUCUGAAGCUUAACCAAAGUGGAGAUUGAGCAGCUGUGGGAAGUCAUAAGUAAAUCACAUUUACAACUCAGCUGGUUGUACAGAUGCAGUUUGGAAAAUUUGGAAGCUGGUUUUAUAUAUUGUAUCAUUCUCUUUUGAGAAAAGUUGGAUAUUUCUGCUUGGAGUGUGUCAAUGGAUUCCAAAGUGAAUUUGAAAAAAAAAAUCUAGAAAUGAUAGGAAGUGGUAUGCUCUUCAUCACCAUCAUCAUUUUCUUAUGAGAGCACUUAAAUGUAUAUAUUUUGAAGAAAUUUCAGUAGAUACACCCACAGUCAUUUCAGGUUGAUGAACCAUGCUCUUGAAGCCUCAGCGCAAUUGCCAGAGCACUAAGAUGGAGAAACAAUAGACGUUUUCUUUGGAAAGAACAAUUAAAGGUGAUUGAUCACAA